rnacentral:misc_RNA from 1 species
AAAAAAAAAAAAAAAAAACACACGCACAAGCAGCUUCUUGAAGGAGGCAGGUAUGUGAAAUCAAAGGACAACCGAGUCGCUUGCUCCCUUGACAAAAUUGGAUGUACCAGCAGUUUGUAUUCAUCCAUGCUACCGAUGGCCAUGAUUUGCAAAAGACCAAACUCCUUCCAUGUUAAUCAAAUACCCUCGUACCGCUUCUAUCUACGAACAAAACCAUUUUUAAUGGUAGUAGCUGUUCUCCUUGUGAUU